UAUGGGCGAAGAUGUAGAACUCCAGUAUGUUGGGAUGAGGUUGGAGAGAGAAAAUUGUUAGGGCCAGAGAUUGUUCAAAUUACUACCAAUAAAGUGCAUAUUAUUCGAGAAAGGUUGAAGGCGGCUCAAAGUAGACAAAAGAGCUAUGCAGAUAAUCGAAGGAGAGAUUUGGAAUUUCAAGUGGGAGAUCAUGUAUUUUUACGAAUCUCGCCAUGGAAGGGAGUGAUGCGAUUUGGUAAGAAAGGCAAACUAAGUCCAAGGUAUAUUGGGCCAUUUGAGAUAUUAGAGCGCAUUGGCAAGACUGCUUAUCGUUUGGCCUUACCACCUAGUCUAUCUCGCAUUCACAAUGUGUUUCAUGUAUCCACAUUGAAGAAGUACAUGCCUGACCCAUCACACGUGUUAGAUUUCCAACCAAUCCAACUCAAGGAUGAUUUGUCUUAUGAAGAGGAAGCCAUAGAGAUUGUGGACAUGAAGGAUCAAGUACUACGUUCCAAGACCAUACCACUAGUAAAGGUAUUGUGGAAAAAUCAUGCUUUGGAGGAAGCUACUUGGGAGCGGGAGGAUAAUAUGAAAAUUCGAUAUCCACAUCUUUUUCAAGGUAUGAACUAGACUAAACAAACGAAUAAAUUUCGUGGACGAAAUUUUCCUUUAGGGGGGUAGAAUUAUAAUAUUCCCAACUUUUCAUCUAGAGCCAAACACACUCCUAUGUUAAACUCCAUUUAGGAUAUCUAAACCCAACUCCAAACUUGAUGGUAGGUGUAACCAAACACCCCAUUUCAACACAAAAAAAAAUUAGAAGUGCAGAUUUUUUUUCUUCAUUCUUCAUUCUCUAACUUCUCUCUACUUUCUCUCUCAUUUUCCUUUACUUUCUUGGAGGCCAAACACCACACCUUUGCUCCACCCUUACACCACCACCUUGACCCACCAUCUCCACCACCUCCGGCCACCUUAUCUCGCCGGAAAAUGGGUCCGGUCGGCACUCCUUGAAUCCAUCCGAAAAUAACACAAUAGAAGCACAAACUCUAGAUUUUUCUUAAUCUUUUGAAGAAUCAAAGCAUGGGAUUUAUUUUCUUGAUGGAUUAGAGGCUUGUACUUGGAUUGGAGGAAGGCAUCUCUCCACCUCUUGGAAAUUAAUUUGUCGAGUUUCAAAUCUACACUUUUGCUAUUUUUGGAGAUUCAUAGACUUUUGUGUGGCUCGCCUCAACUUGGAAGACUAGAAUUUUUUUGAAGGAUCACAGGUGGGCAUCUUGUGGUUGAGGUUUUGCUUAGGGUCAUUCUAGGAUGUAAGCUUACCCUUUUUUUUUAUGAAGGAGGUUGAUUGUAAAUAUUGCUUAUGAAGUUGGAUGUAUUGAUGGAUUCGUGAUUAGUAUGUAUUAUAUUUUUUUUGGGAGGAAAUGCUUGGGAACUAUCUUGUAGCAUGAUAAUACUUUUUUUGUCUUUGAAUAGAUCAUCUCAUAUAUGUUAGGCAAUUGAAAGGUGCUAUAGCGUUUGAGGUGCACCCUCUUGGCAGGGUUUUGCCUUGCCAAGAUUGGGUC